ACACGUCGGUGUGGAUGCUAGCUCAAGCAAGGCGGGCACAAACGGACUUCCGUCAACAACUUGUCCCGUGUUUUCCGGGAGCAGUUGUGAGAAAACAAACAAAAACAAAAAAAAACACGCAUUACUCACCACAGCUGUCGCUUGGUGGGCAGGCAGUCUUUGUUGGAGGCUGUCACUCCCAUGGCCAUCUGCAUCACCGUAAUGUAUUUCUGGUACUUCAUCUUCCUUUGGACCGCUACUUCGAGGAAGCCGUGAGCGUGUGCGCGCGAAUGCGCUCCUGAAGCUCCCCCGACACCCGCCGCGCGUCCAGCGGCAUCAGCAGCGCCAUGUCCAGGGGGGGAGGUCCCCGGGGAACCGGAGGAAAGUUGGAGUCUCCGGGAAGAGUGAGGAGAGGAUGCGGCGUCGGCGGCAAUCCACGCGUGUGUGAGCAACUGUCACUGGAAGGGUCAAACCAAUCCUGAGUGCAGUCCAUUGGGGGAGAUUUCUGCCAGCUCUUUCUCAUGGAUGAAAGUCAGCAGCUCAAGCAGAGUGUUGAAGAGUUGUAAACAUUUGAUGGGAAUGUGUGCAUGGAGGGGGUGACGUGUCGGAAGCAAGCGGAGACUCUGCUGCACUGAGCAUAAUUGUAGGGCCAAGGUCAAGGUCGCAGCAGGCUGCCUUCCCGCCAGAGCACGCGCCGGGGAGCGCACUGCGGGACACGCCCAAACAUGCUCUGCUUCUGCUGCCACGCACCUGCACAGCUGGGUGCAAUCAUCGAUCAACACACCUGCUGCUGAUGAGACCACUCCCCAUAAAAGCCAGUGUUUCCAGAAAUCCAGUGCUGGAACGUAGUUGUCUGCUUGCAAAUUUCCUCCGUCGCCUGGGAAGUGAGCUGUGCACUUCACUUUCUUGGACCACCUCUAUAUCCUGACUGCCUCGCUCGAUCCUCGACCCCCGCUUUGGACACGGACCUCUUGACGCCUCUCUCCAGCCCCACGGACCUCCCGCUUGUAUUACCGUUUCUCCUACUGUCAGGCUUGCCCCUGACAGUUUGUGUGUGUUUUAGUUUCUCGUCUGUGAGUAGUAUUUCCUGUCUUUUGUUUCCUGUCAGCCUGCGAUGAGGUGGCGACUUGUCCAGGGUGUACGCCACCUUCCGCCCAAUUGUAGCUGAGAUAGGCACCAGCGCCCCCAAAGGGAAUAAGCGGUAGAAAAUGGAUAGAUGGAUGAACAAAAUACAAUUAAUCACGAUUAAAUAUUUUAUUUGUUCGUCAUCCCUAGUUUGAAUUUGUGAGCAUUGUCAUCAAUCAGCCAGUCGGAGUGGCAUCGACAUAAACUGGUUUCACCGCAUU